rnacentral:rRNA from 1 species
AUUAAACUGAAGAGUUUGAUCCUGGCUCAGAUUGAACGCUGGUGGCAUGCUUAACACAUGCAAGUCGAACGGUAACAGGAGAAGCUUGCUUCUUGCUGACGAGUGGCGGACGGGUGAGUAACGCGUAGGAAUCUGCCCAUCUGUGGGGGAUACCAGUUGGAAACGACUGUUAAUACCGCAUAAUAUCUGCGGAUUAAAGGUGGCCUUUGUGCUGCCGCAGAUGGAUGAGCCUGCGUUGGAUUAGCUUGUUGGUGGGGUAAAGGCCUACCAAGGCUACGAUCCAUAGCUGAUUUGAGAGGAUGAUCAGCCACAUUGGGACUGAGACACGGCCCAAACUCCUACGGGAGGCAGCAGUGGGGAAUAUUGGACAAUGGGCGAAAGCCUGAUCCAGCAAUGCCAUGUGUGUGAAGAAGGCUCUAGGGUUGUAAAGCACUUUAGUUGGGGAGGAAAGCUUAUGAGUUAAUAGCUCAUAAGAAGGACGUUACCCAAAGAAUAAGGACCGGCUAACUCCGUGCCAGCAGCCGCGGUAAUACGGGGGGUCCGAGCGUUAAUCGGAAUUACUGGGCGUAAAGGGUCUGUAGGUGGUUUGUUAAGUCAGAUGUGAAAGCCCGUGGCUCAACCUUGGAACUGCAUUUGAUACUGGCAAACUAGAGUAUGGUAGAGGAAUGGGGAAUUUCUGGUGUAGCGGUGAAAUGCGUAGAGAUCAGAAGGAACACCAAUGGCGAAGGCAACAUUCUGGACCAAUACUGACACUGAGGGACGAAAGCGUGGGGAUCAAACAGGAUUAGAUACCCUGGUAGUCCACGCUGUAAACGAUGAGUACUAGCUGUUGGAUUCGGUGUAAAGGAUCUAGUGGCGCAGCUAACGCGUUAAGUACUCCGCCUGGGGACUACGGCCGCAAGGCUAAAACUCAAAGGAAUUGACGGGGACCCGCACAAGCGGUGGAGCAUGUGGUUUAAUUCGAUGCAACGCGAAGAACCUUACCGGUCUUGACAUCCUGCGAACUUUCUAGAGAUAGAUUGGUGCCUUCGGGAACGCAGUGACAGGUGCUGCACGGCUGUCGUCAGCUCGUGUUGUGAAAUGUUGGGUUAAGUCCCGCAACGAGCGCAACCCCUAUUGAUAGUUACCAUCAUUAAGUUGGGUACUCUAUUGAGACUGCCGCUGACAAGGCGGAGGAAGGUGGGGACGACGUCAAGUCAUCAUGGCCCUUACGACCAGGGCUACACACGUGCUACAAUGGGUAUUACAGAGGGCUGCGAAGGUGCGAGCUGGAGCGAAACUCAGAAAGGUACUCUUAGUCCGGAUUGCAGUCUGCAACUCGACUGCAUGAAGUCGGAAUCGCUAGUAAUCGCAGGUCAGAAUACUGCGGUGAAUACGUUCCCGGGUCUUGUACACACCGCCCGUCACACCAUGGGAGUGGGUUGCUCCAGAAGUAGAUAGCUUAACGAAUGGGCGUUUACCACGGAGUGAUUCAUGACUGGGGUGAAGUCGUAACAAGGUAGCCGUAGGGGAACCUGCGGCUGGAUCACCUCCUUAA